AGCGAACGCUGGCGGCAGGCCUAACACAUGCAAGUCGAGCGGGCGUACUUGUGGUGUCCGUGGCAGACGGGUGAGUAACGCGUGUGAACGUGCCGUUCGUUUCGGACUAACUCGGGUAAACUUGGGCUAAUACCGGUUACGUGCGAGAGCAGAAAAGUUUAUCUGCCGAAGGACCUGACCGCGUCUGAUUAGCUAGUUGGCUAGGUUAUGGCUCACCAAUGCGACGAUCAGUAGCUGGUCUGAGAGGAUGAUCAGCCACACUGGGACUGAGACACGGGCCAGACUCCUACGGGAGGCAGCAGUGGGGAAUAUUGGACAAUGGGGGCAACCCUGAGCCAGCCAUGCCGGGUGAGUGAUGACGGCCUUAGGGUUGUAAAGCUCUUUUCUUCGGGACGAUAAUGACGGUACCGGAGGAAUAAGCCCCGGCUAACUUCGUG
rnacentral:rRNA from 1 species